rnacentral:rRNA from 1 species
CCUACGGGGGGCAGCAGUGGGGAAUAUUGCACAAUGGGGGAAACCCUGAUGCAGCGACGCCGCGUGAGCGAAGAAGUAUUUCGGUAUGUAAAGCUCUAUCAGCAGGGAAGAAAAUGACGGUACCUGAGUAAGAAGCUCCGGCUAAAUACGUGCCAGCAGCCGCGGUAAUACGUAUGGAGCAAGCGUUAUCCGGAUUUACUGGGCGUAAAGGGAGCGUAGGCGGCCUGCCAAGUCUGAUGUGAAAUACCGGGGCUCAACCCCGGGGCUGCAUUGGAAACUGGCAGGCUGGAGCGCCGGAGAGGCAGGCGGAAUUCCUAGUGUAGCGGUGAAAUGCGUAGAUAUUAGGAGGAACACCAGUGGCGAAGGCGACGAUCUGGGAAGAAACAGACGCUGAGUCCCGAAAGCGUGGGGAGCAAAUAGGAUUAGAUACCCCAGUAGUC